rnacentral:rRNA from 1 species
AACGAACGCUGGCGGCAUGCCUAACACAUGCAAGUCGAACGAGACCUUCGGGUCUAGUGGCGCACGGGUGCGUAACGCGUGGGAACCUGCCCUUAGGUUCGGAAUAACUCCCCGAAAGGGGUGCUAAUACCGGAUAAUGUCUUCGGACCAAAGAUUUAUCGCCUUUGGAUGGGCCCGCGUUGGAUUAGCUAGUUGGUAGGGAAAAAGCCUACCAAGGCGACGAUCCAUAGCUGGUCUGAGAGGAUGAUCAGCCACACUGGGACUGAGACACGGCCCAGACUCCUACGGGAGGCAGCAGUGGGGAAUAUUGGACAAUGGGCGAAAGCCUGAUCCAGCAAUGCCGCGUGAGUGAUGAAGGCCUUAGGGUUGUAAAGCUCUUUUACCCGGGAUGAUAAUGACAGUACCGGGAGAAUAAGCUCCGGCUAACUCCGUG